UCAUCUUGCUCUGGGGCGAAAGUUGUUGCCACAGAGGCGGGGUCUACAUCCUGCCCUUCAGCGAGUGCCUCAGUGGCGUCCGCUGGUGGUUCAUCCUCAGGCAGGAAGUCUGGACUGUGAGACUUUCCAGGUAAGUUUUCAGAGUUGUUGUCAGCUUCACUGCCCACGGAGGCCUCGGGAAGAUCAUACACUGGCCUGCUGGUGGCUUCAGCCUCUUCCAAGGGCCCAGUGGUCAUCUAUGCCCCCUGCUACUUGGGGUGGGUGGGAAGGAGUGGCUUGGCUGUGCUAGGCUCAGUUGUCCAGGUGGUGAGGUCACAGGAGGUUGUGGGCAGCUGGUGAUGUCACAGGAACUUGUAGAGCAAAGGUCCUGAAUGUCCUGAGCUUACCAAGUGGCUGUCCUGGGGGGCUGAAUGUAGGGGAUGAUUCGCAGCCAGGAUUGCAGGCCACUGGAGUUUGAUUCCUAGCACCUACAUGGGGCAGAUCACAGCUGCCUCUAACCAAAUCUCCAGGGGAGGGGAUCUGGCACCUUCUGCCUUCAAGAACACCUGCACAUGCAUGACCCAUGUAUACGCAAACACAUGCACACAAACGAACUAAGAAAAAAAAAUCUGUGUGAAGAAGCCAGGCAUGUGGCACAUACCUGUAACCCCAGUACGUGGAGGUGAAGGCAGGAAGAGGAGUUCCAGAUCAUCCCCCGCCAGCUGAGGUUUUCGGUAAAUUGGAGGCUAGCCUGGGCUAUCCAGCUUAUUGCCUCCAAUAAGCAAAUGGAAAGAACAGAAAAUAGCAUAAAACAGGAUAGCAGACUUUAAGCCUGUACGUUAA